CGGCGUGCCUAACACAUGCAAGUCGAACGAGAAAGUGGAGCAAUCCAUGAGUAAAGUGGCGACCGGGUGAGUAACACGUGACUAACCUACCUCCGAGUGGGGAAUAACUCCGGGAAACCGGGGCUAAUACCGCAUAACAUCGCAAGAUCAAAGCAGCCCUGCGCUUGGAGAGGGGGUCGCGGCUGAUUAGCUCGUCGGCGGGGUAACGGCCCACCAACGCGAACAUCGGUAUCCGGCCUGAGAGGGCGCACGGACACAC
rnacentral:rRNA from 1 species